CACCCCUCCCUCGCCCUUCCCUAAAUCUCAGGUCUGACGUCGCGCCCUCUUAUUCGACUUUUCCUCGCGUCUCCUCCCGGAGUCGCCAAUCGCCGGGGCGCCUUCCCGGCGAGGCCGCCCACCCCCGCGGAUAACGCGCGCCGGGCGGGGCGCGGCGGGGCGGGGGCCGGGCGCAGCGAGUCCCUGCCCGCCUCCUCCUGCCCGCGCCCGGAGGGGGGAGGAGAGGCGCGGGCACGCUGUUUAGGACUGGGUCAGCUCGCCCCUCCCUGCUUCCCGCUCCUCUGAGCCUCUGCUCUGGCCUCGGCGACAGGCCGGGAUCGGCCCGGACCUCGGGCUAUGGCAGGCUCGGGGCUCCUCUGCGUCUCGGAGCCCUUUUCCCUUCGCACCUCGCGACCACGGGCCACUCUCUGUGACUAAAGGACGGAGCUGGAAGAGUGAACAGGGGUGAGGGAGUGUGUCCCGAAUGGCCUUUUAAAAGGCCAUUUCACUGCCCAGAACGUGGGGUGACAGUGUCCUGCCCUGGAGAGCCUAACUGGGCAGUUUACCAUAUGUGACGCCUCCCCUGUGUCCGGGAGCGAUGCCUGUAUUAGAAAAGGGGAUCUCAGCUUGGGGACCAAAGGGUGAAGGCUCCGGAGGUCUUGGGGAGCAGGGAAGAGUUAGUAAACACUGUGAGCUUGCAAUGAGGGAGAGCAGGGAGCAGCAGGGAGCGGGACGGCGGAGGCCCGAGUAACUUUCCGAGAGCGCAGGGAGAAGUUUCCAUAGUGGCCUUUCCUCUGCUGCGCUCUUUUCUCUCGCAACCUCUUUCUCUGCUCCCAGUUUCUGGUGCUAACCCGUUUUACUUCUGCAAGGAUCCUCCCACUGCCAGGGGAGGGGGGCAUGGAAGCAAGACUUUUGGUUUUAUGCUAGAAAAUUUUCUAAAUCGUACUUGAAGUUAUUAGUAUCUAAGCGCCCACCUUCGCGGAUUACAGCGUGCUGUUGAGAGCGGCAUUGAAAUCCCCGGGAAUUGCUGUGGAUCAGGGCCAAGCGCUUUUAGGCCGGCUUGAGGACCCACGCGCGGACCUGGCCUGUGUCAGGCCUGCUCUGGGGACAGAUCCGGGGCGGCGACUCUUCCGUAGAGUGACCUGCUCCAGCUCAGAGGCGGAAACCGGGCACCCAGCACUGAUUGAUGGAGGAAUUGAAUCUGAAUUCCACCAGAGUGGAGAAAUCCAAGGGUCCUGGCCCCGGCUGUCUGAUCACAGCUGCUGGGGGGGAGCACAGUUCGGGCGUAAAAAAAAAAGUUUCUUCCGCUCCUACCUUGAACACUCAGUUUUAAUCGAACCCCCUUCUUGCCACUUUCUCCUCUCUGAUCUGUGGCUCCAGCAGAUUUGAACUGGAGAAAACUAAGGGUGUGUGUAUGUCAAAGCAAGUUUGGAAACGACCAGGUUUAGGGUCGGGGGGGAAAGGAAUCUCCCCAAAUUGUGUCUGAGCUGAUUUGCUCUCCUCUGUACACUUGCCUCCACCUGACGCUGGGCAUUGGCUUUAGGCGAACCCAGCUAUAGGAGGCGACUUCAGGGGCAGCUCUGGCCUUGAAAUGUGUCCCCAGAGCUUGAUUUCGUUUCUAGGCAAACCUCUCAGAACAUGACCUAGAGAAUCUUAGGCUCAUCUUGGAAUAAUCUGAAUUGAAAAAUUCUAGGUGACAUUACUUCCCAGGAUGUUUUUCUAGGCGUGUCCCUUAAGCUUCGACAGCCCUGCAGUCCUAAAAUUUGUACAAAAUGGUAGCACCAGACGAGGGGUGGGGGGGAUGAGAGCCAGAUUAUAGGAUGGGAGGACAGAGGCUUCGCUGCUGUAAAUACUUGGGUAAAACUGAAAAGAUUCAGUUCUUCCAGAAGGAGAAGGGGGUGGGAAGCAAAGAAAAGAGAAGGAAAGAAAAAAAAAACAAAACAGAAAACAAAUCACGAGUCAACGAGAUGCUCCUUCUGCAUUAACCAGUUUAUCGACCUGGCUGCGGAGGAUUACAGGAGGCGGGAAAGAGACUGGAAAAGGGCUGAGCUGCACUCAGGAACCAGUCAAGCCAGCUGGGGGCCGCCCCUGGCUCGGAGUGUAAACCUCCAGACCCAGGCUCGAACUCUCGAACCUCACUUGAUUAGAUCCCUCCAGGCUCCCUAGGCCCCAAGCAGAAGCACUCUCCCCUAACCUAACCUCCCGCUGGGAACGGCCUCCGCCUGGUCCCGAGAUCCAAACCCCAAGUCUGGACUCGGCGUCCGGGGGAGCCAAGCCCCGAUGUGGUGCUAGUCCCCCAACAGGACCCAGCCAGGAGAACCCGACUCUGAACUGAACUCCCGGGCCCGCCAGCAGCCGCACCAUUUCCAUGGAGUUUUAAUCCGAAAGAUUAGGUCAAAGUGACCGGCUCUUCCAGCGUGGUAAAACAGGUGCACUGGAAGUUGGUUUGGGGAAGGCUUGCGCGCCCCAACGCGUUGCACGCAGCUAUUCUUAGCGUUUCCCCUUCCAACAUUCCCAGCGCACAAAGCACCUUGGAGACUCGCUGUGGACGCUCUCUGAACGCGGCCAGGGCUCAGGGAGCGUGCACAAACGCUGUCCGCCGAACACGCGUGGCGCACACAGAGCGCGCUCAACGCGCACAAGGAGCCGCCACCCGACGUGUUCUCAGGGCCCAAGGCCCGACAGGUUCAGGAGGCGCAUGGCGCGCUGCACGCAAACCCGGAGCCCGCAGGCCCCCUUUCGAUCCUUUUGCCCAGCCCUGCGGAGUGCACGUCCCUGCUGGGAGUUGGGGUGGAGAGCCGCUGAAGCUCUCCUUCUCCUAGCCAGGCCCACCUUGGAUCCUUUCCUCCGAGGCCCCGCGUCCCCGGCGGCGGUGCAGGUUAGCUAUCCCUUGGCUUCCUGCAGGCGCUGAGGCGCGCUCCCCCCUCCCCCCGCUCGGGUUACAGGUUAAUGAAAUGCUCGUUUUCCUCAGUCAUUUGUUUUGUUUUCCUGCAAAGUUCUGAUAAGUAGCUAACCAACGAAGCUUGUAAUUACAAUCUUACAGAAACCGGGCCGAUCUGUAUAUAAAUCUCACCAUCCAAUUACAAGAUGUAAUAAUUUUGCACUCAAGCUGGUAAUGAGGUCUAAUACUCGUGCAUGCGAUAAUCCCCCCUGGAUGCUGGCUUGAUCAGAUGUUGGCUUUGUAAUUAGACGGGCAGAAAAUCAUUAUUUCAUGUUCAAAUAGAAAAUGAGGUUGGUGGGAAGUUAAUUUCUCUCCGCUCUGUGAAGCGUAGACAAGAAUUUAAUGAUUUAAUUACAGUUGUAAGCCCUUUCCAUGAGACUUAAAUUGAGCUGAGAAUAUUUUUUCCUCCUCUCGCUUUCUCUCUCCCUCUUUCUCCCUUUCUCGAUCUGUCUCUCCGCUAUUAGCAGCGGCGCGGGCUCCCAUUUGCGUGGCCUCGCAGACGCCCAGGGAGGGAUUCAGACUUGGCCGGGAAUCCAGACUCGCAGCAUCCUACGAGGCGCGGGCCAGGGGCCGGCCGAGCCCCCGGGAACGCGCCGCUGCUUCAAGCCAGACGCCAGGUCUUGGGAGACCUCCCCUGGGUCCGGACAAGUGACGGGAAACUUUGGGGUGGUCCAGGAAUCCCAAGAGGAGGUUGGAGAGAGAAUAUAAAGGCUGGUGUGAAAGCAGAAAUCUCCAGUUUCCUCUGAGGCCCUCCUCAACCCCAGUCCUUUCUUGAUUUUCUCAUUUUCCCCCCCACUAUGUGGGAUUAAAUCAGGAAUGCUCUACCACCGACAUACCUCCAUGGCCCUUUUUAUUUUAUUUAUUAUUUUGAGACAAAGUCUCAUUCAUUUGUCCAGGCUUGCUUUGAAUUUGUGAUCCUCCUGUGUCUGCCUCCUGAGUAACUGGGAUUGUAGGUGUGUGUGGUAGCUUGGCAUUCUCAAUAAACCCAUUAAAAUCAAA